rnacentral:lncRNA from 1 species
AAACCGAGCAUUAUUUUAACUCAUUCUUAUCAUGCUAAAUCAUGCAUCAAUCUAUUUUUGUGAAAAUUUUGAAAAUGAUAGAGGCAUUGUUUGUGAGAAAAACCACUCGACCAAAAAGUUUGAAUCAACUAACCUUGUGAGAAAUAAUCCUUAGUUAAACCCCUUUGAGCUUAGUUUAGGAUUCAUUUGAUUGAUCAUUGUAAAAUCAAUUGAAAAUUGUGGAAUAAAUGAAUCCUAAUUUCUUUCGUAUCAGUUGAAACCUCAAACCGAGUUGUUUGCAAAAUUGUGCCUUUUGCUUAUGUCUAAGUAGGGAGCAUUAUUGAAUAAAUUUGGUUUUGGAAUCUAAAGUUGGGGAGAGUAAAGUGAAAAGUUGAUUAGAAACUUGGAAAAGUGAGUUUUGAUGAAAGGGUGAAAAUUUGAAAAGAAACAAGAAAAAGAAAAUACCCUUGAAGCCAUAGAGCAAAGAAAAAAGUAAAGAAAAAAAAAAUCAAAGAAAAUGCUCAUGGUUGUGUGGAUGUAAUAAGAAAAAGAAAAAGAUAGGGACCAAGGAAAAGGAAAUUGUGUAGAGUUGAAUCUUUGGGAAUGCUCCCUUAGGAUA